rnacentral:rRNA from 1 species
GACGAACGCUGGCGGCGUGCCUAAUACAUGCAAGUAGAACGCACAGUUUAUACCGUAGCUUGCUACACCAUAGACUGUGAGUUGCGAACGGGUGAGUAACGCGUAGGUAACCUGCCUGGUAGCGGGGGAUAACUAUUGGAAACGAUAGCUAAUACCGCAUAAUAUUAAUUAUUGCAUGAUAAUUAAUUGAAAGGUGCAAUUGCACCACUACCAGAUGGACCUGCGUUGUAUUAGCUAGUAGGUGAGGUAACGGCUCACCUAGGCGACGAUACAUAGCCGACCUGAGAAGGUGAUCCGCCACACUGGGACUGAGACACGGCCCAGACUCCUGCGGGAGGCAGCAGUAGGGAAUCUUCGGCAAUGGACGAAAGGCUGACCGAGGAACGCCGCGUGAGUGAAGAAGGGUUUCGGAUCGUAAAGCUCUGUUGUAAGAGAAGAACGGGUGUGAGAGUGGAAAGUUCACACUGUGACGGUAUCUUACCAGAAAGGGACGGCUAACUACGUG